CUUUAUAUUGUGAGAAUCACAAGACCCAGACCUACAUUUUGAUGCAUAGUAUGUCUCUGAAGUAUUAAAAUUGAAGGCACAGUCGCAGUUUAGAAAUUGCACUUCAAAUUGGAGCUUUGCAGAGUGAAGUUUCAAUGAAAGUCAAUGGACGGCGUUAGUUGCAAACAAAUGAUUAUAUUGUGAAAACUAUCAGGACUAUGGCUUAGCCGUUUACAUGUUUAGUGGCAGCAGGGAUAGCUGAACGUUUUGAUAUAAGAUUUGUGUAGGUGGCCUGAA